rnacentral:lncRNA from 12 species
UAGAACUCUACUAAAGAAAAAAAAAGAACUCUACUAAAGUAUUUUUUUCAAUGUGUUUGUCAUUUAGAAUUGGAGAAGAACAUUGUCCUCAUGGAGUGAUGACCAUCACUUACAGAGCUAACCUGGAUCAGUACUCACAUGGGCCAGGACGGAUGUGAAGUUCAGUGACACAGUUCCAUAACACACGCUUGAAAGCUGUGUUCCUUUCCUUCUCAAGUGACCAUCUGAGAACAAAAAUUAUCCUUCUGAAGCUAAACGUAGUCCACAUUCGGCAUGCACAGUAAAUGCAGUACACAUUUGGCAUGCAUAAUGCUAUUGAGGCUUAAUGGGUCUGAACAAAAGAAAAAGAACUUUGGUGGGGAAAGAUGUCUUUCAGAAUCCUACUUUGAACCAGAAGAAUCUAUUCUCUUGAGACUGUUGAAGAGAAGAUUGCAUAAAGCUCCCUUUGGAUGGUUGGUCAUUAGAUGCAGUCUUUCAGGAGAUUCUGAAAGAUUAAUGGAUGAACCAGGGAGGAUGGACACUAUACCUCUAGCUGCUACUGCUGCUACCAUAAUGUGCAUGGCCACUAUCUGCAGACUCAUGAAUCCUCAUCUUUACUGAAUACUCUGUACAUGCCAGACAUGGUGCUCUGCACCUGUGAGGUGUCACCCCUGCUCUGCUGUAAAUGAGCACCCCGGGCUCAACGAGAGAUGGACUCACCCUCCUCAGUUCACACACACAUGACAAACACACCAGUUGGAUGUGCUCAACUGCAGAUUCCAUGUUCUCGAACACCCUGCUCUCCUUGCCUUGGGACUGGCCAGCUCUCGCUCAGACUGAGUGCUACCAGCGUUGGCCACUGUGCAAAAUCCCCAGGAGGCCAGAGGCAAGCGUUCUCUACAGUAUCGCUCAACUGGAGAAAACAUGCAGUUAUGAAGUUAGGCUCCAGCCAACCGGCUAAGUGAAAGGAAAAGAUGCUUGAAAGUGUUCCUGUGAGAAAUGGAAGAGGGCUCAUUAAUAAGAACAUGCGCCAUUUGUUGAGCAGAACAAACAAACAGAUUUUUGGCAAAGAGAUUUACUUCAGAGAAGAAAGGAAGUGCCUGCGGUGGUGGGAUGGGGGGCAGAAUGCUGACACACAGAUGUGAGAACAAGAUGCUGGCACCAGCUGUGCACUGAAGAGAGUUAUCGCAACUAUCAAUUUUCUAUUUUUGUUUUAGUGAUUUAUCAGUUAGAAUUAUCACACUGUGAAAGCCUUGUAAUAGAGACUGCAGUUUCGAAAAUGCAAGAACCAGUUUUAGCAAAUGUUCUUAAUACACACACAGGCUCACACUCAAUAUGUGUAGAGACCACCCAAAGGACGACAGUCGGCUCUGUUGUGUUUUGUGCAUCCGUGGGCCCCCAUUACAUGGGCUUCGACUUAUGCCUGUUCAUGAAGAACAGGUGUUUGAAAUAAAAUCAAGGGGAAAAUCGCUAUGAAUUCGGCC